rnacentral:tRNA from 1 species
GCCCAAGUGGUGAAAUUGGUAUACACGUAUGCCUUAGGAGCAUAUGCCAGUCGGCGUGCAGGUUCAAGUCCUGUCUUGGGCACCA